AGCUUGCUGGUGAGGUAAAAGCUCACCAAGGCGACGAUCUGUAGCGGGUCUGAGAGGAUGAUCCGCCACACUGGAACUGAGACACGGUCCAGACUCCUACGGGAGGCAGCAGUGGGGAAUUUUGGACAAUGGGGGCAACCCUGAUCCAGCCAUGCCGCGUGAGUGAAGAAGGCCUUCGGGUUGUAAAGCUCUUUCAGCCGGGAAGAAAACGCAUGGGUUAAUACCCUGUGUGGAUGACGGUACCGGAAUAAGAAGCACCGGCUAACUACGUGCCAGCAGCCGCGGUAAUACGUAGGGUGCGAGCGUUAAUCGGAAUUACUGGGCGUAAAGCGUGCGCAGGCGGUUUUGUAAGACAGGCGUGAAAUCCCCGGGCUUAACCUGGGAACUGCGUUUGUGACUGCAAGGCUAGAGUACGGCAGAGGGGGGUGGAAUUCCACGUGUAGCAGUGAAAUGCGUAGAGAUGUGGAGGAACACCAAUGGCGAAGGCAGCCCCCUGGGUCGAUACUGACGCUCAUGCACGAAAGCGUGGGUAGCAAACAGGAUUAGAUACCCUGGUAGUCCACGCCCUAAACGAUGUCAACUAGGUGUUGGGAGGGUAAAACCUUUUAGUACCGGAGCUAACGCGUGAAGUUGACCGCCUGGGGAGUACGGCCGCAAGGUUAAAACUCAAAGGAAUUGACGGGGACCCGCACAAGCGGUGGAUGAUGUGGAUUAAUUCGAUGCAACGCGAAAAACCUUACCUACCCUUGACAUGCCAAGAACUUUCCAGAGAUGGAUUGGUGCCCGAAAGGGAACUUGGACACAGGUGCUGCAUGGCUGUCGUCAGCUCGUGUCGUGAGAUGUUGGGUUAAGUCCCGCAACGAGCGCAACCCUUGUCGUUAAUUGCCAUCAUUUAGUUGGGCACUUUAACGAGACUGCCGGUGACAAACCGGAGGAAGGUGGGGAUGACGUCAAGUCCUCAUGGCCCUUAUGGGUAGGGCUUCACACGUCAUACAAUGGUCGGUACAAAGGGUCGCCAAGCCGCGAGGUGGAGCCAAUCCCAGAAAGCCGAUCGUAGUCCGGAUCGCAGUCUGCAACUCGACUGCGUGAAGUCGGAAUCGCUAGUAAUCGUGGAUCAGAAUGUCACGGUGAAUACGUUCCCGGGUCUUGUACACACCGCCCGUCACACCAUGGGAGCGGGUUCCGCCAGAAGUAGGUAGCCUAACCGCAAGGAGGGCGCUUACCACGGCGGGGUUCGUGACUGGGGUGAAGUCGUAACAAGGUAGCCGUAGGGGAACCUGCGGCUG
rnacentral:rRNA from 1 species